UUUUGAAAUUCCCACCAAAAAUUUAUUUUUAGUACUCUUAUUUUCAAAAGCCUUGUUCACAUGGUUAUUUUAUUUAUUAAUGCCCAGUAAAAGCUAGUCGGUUGAUUUUAAAAUUUGUUUAUAUAUUUCCCCAUCAGAUUCAGUAAUUGAGUAAUUCGUCUUAUGAAAGCCAGAAAGGUAUUUUAAAACAUAAAAAAACUAACCAAAGCAACUGUACUUCAUCUUGAAAGCCCAUUAGAACAAUAUAUUAUCUUUAGCAAGUACACAUUUCCUGUCAGCUGAAGUAAACUGAAUUUUCCAGUCUUUCUACCAAGACCAGAUUAGUGGUAUAGCUCAAAAAAUAGCUCUUGCUUAAAUUUCAAUUGCUAAAACAUAACCUAUGUUUUAUGAUUUGGGUUUUUUCUAAUAAAGAGGUGUAAUGUUUUAUUGCUUAUUUUUAAGGCAUUCUUUUGACUCCAAAUAGAAAAGACAAACCUAAUACUUCAAAGAGAGAUGAAUGUAGUAGAAAUACUAGGUGGACUAGCAACUAUAACUUGACACCUGCUUAUGGAAACUGUCAAUGAAAUGUGUUCCCUGGCCAUGAGCAUGAGACCUUUGACCAAGAGAAGAGUCCGAAAAGACUUCACAACUGAAGAAAUCAACUGCCUUUUGAAAGGCGUCCAAAAAAUGGGCAACCACUGGAAUUUGAUUUUGUGGUCUUACCCUUUCCAGAAAGGACGGACGGGCGUUGACCUUUCCAAGAAAUACUACAGGUUACAGGUGCAGAUGAAAAAAGCCCACAAAGGACAUCAGUAACAUCAUCUGUGAGUGCUUUGCUGCAGAAUGUUCAAGAACAGCCUUUGUAACAGUGAAGUAUUACCAGAACAACUCAAGCCCUUGGAGAAUUUAGGUUGGCUUGGACUCCUGUUUUUCAGUGACAACUGACAGAAUUGUUAUGCAUUGUAAUUUUAAUUUACCAUAACUUGACAGUUUAUUUAAGUAAUGCUAUCAUAGGCAACAAAAUCUCUCUUGGUAAAAAUUUCAUUAAUUUGGAACAUAAUUUAACCUUCUUGAGCAUUCGAUCUGUGCAAUUUUUGAGUUAACUUUUUGUCGCUUGCUCUGUACUAUUUGUAAGAAAAGGAUAUAUUGCUAAAAUUAAUACUUCAUGUCUGGAAGUGUUGUUCAUGUUGUUGUGUCUGAAUCUGUUUCCUCUUAAUUAGUGAAAUGUUUAAAGCAGGUGGAAUAUUUUGUCACGUGUUGAAUAUGCUGCAUGUGCAGAAAAACAUCUCUGUGACAGAAGACACUGAAUUUGUGGUUAAACACUGCUGCACAGAGGAGGCAAAUCUUUCACUGCUACAGAAAUUCUGUACUCACUGUUGAACUGAGCAGGUACUGGUAGAAUAUGGCUUCUGUUUAUAAUUGGACAGUUUUCUGGUGUAUUUUUCAAAUAAGUGAGCAGAACCAGAAUUUCUGCUAAUUACACAUUUUUUUAUAGGAAGCUUUACUGAAAGCCUUGGUAACUUGCUUUUUCAGUGAUAGCCUUUGUAUUUCAGUUGUAUUUUUACUUGUUCUGAUAUAGGAAGGAUGAAUCAAUAGUUAUUUUAUUAUGGAAAAGGUUUAGUUGUUGUAUUAGCACUAGGUUUUCACUAUGAUAUGGCUUAAAUGCUUGGAAACAGGCAAGGUAACCAAAACCCGAGAGACUUGCAAUAAAGAUGAUGCCAAUGAUGCAAUAAAUAUGCCUUCCAAUAUUUUCA